AGAAUUGAUCUGGUUCAGGAUGAACGCUAGCUACAGGCUUAACACAUGCAAGUCGAGGGGCAGCAUGGAGUUGCUUGCAAACUCUGAUGGCGACCGGCGCACGGGUGAGUAACGCGUAUCCAACCUUCCCUAUAGUAGAGGAUAGCCCGGCGAAAGUCGGAUUAAUACUCUAUGUUUUCCGUUGCAGACAUCUAAGAUGGAACAAAGGCUUGCCGCUAUAGGAUGGGGGAUGCGUCUGAUUAGGUAGUCGGCGGGGUAACGGCCCACCGAGCCAUCGAUCAGUAGGGGUUCUGAGAGGAAGGUCCCCCACAUUGGAACUGAGACACGGUCCAAACUCCUACGGGAGGCAGCAGUGAGGAAUAUUGGUCAAUGGACGAGAGUCUGAACCAGCCAAGUAGCCGUGCAGGACGACGGCCCUAUGGGUUGUAAACUGCUUUUAUGCGGGGAUAAAGUUCACUACGUGUAGUGUUUUGUAGGUACCGCAUGAAUAAGGACCGGCUAAUUCCGUGCCAGCCGCGGC
rnacentral:rRNA from 1 species